CAGCUUCGGGUAAUCAUGGUGA
rnacentral:siRNA from 1 species